rnacentral:rRNA from 1 species
UCCCCUAGUAACUGCGAGUGAAGCGGGAAAAGCUCAAAUUUAAAAUCUGGUAGUCUUUGGCUGCCCGAGUUGUAAUCUAGAGAAGCAUUAUCCGCGCUGGACCGUGUACAAGUCUCCUGGAACGGAGCGUCAUAGAGGGUGAGAAUCCCGUCUUUGACACGGACUACCAGGGCUUUGUGAUGUGCUCUCAAAGAGUCGAGUUGUUUGGGAAUGCAGCUCUAAAUGGGUGGUAAAUUCCAUCUAAAGCUAAAUAUUGGCGAGAGACCGAUAGCGAACAAGUACCGUGAGGGAAAGAUGAAAAGAACUUUGGAAAGAGAGUUAAACAGUACGUGAAAUUGUUGAAAGGGAAACGCUUGAAGUCAGUCGCGUCUGCUUGGAAUCAACCUUGCUUCUUGCUUGGCUUAUUUCCUUGUAGAUGGGUCAGCAUCAAUUUUGACCGGUGGAUAAAGGCGUGGGGAAUGUGGCAUCUUCGGGUGUGUUAUAGCCCUGCGUUGUAUACAUCGGUUGGGAUUGAGGAACUCAGCACUUGUGCUUAGGAUGCUGGCAUAAUGGCUUUAAUCGACCCGUCUUGAAACACGGACCAAGGAGUCUAACAUGCCCGCGAGUGUUUGGGUGGAAAACCCGAGCGCGUAAUGAAAGUGAAAGUUGAGAUCCCUGUCGUGGGGAGCAUCGACGCCCGGACCAGACCUUUUGUGACGGUCCCGCGGUAGAGCGUGUAUGUUGGGACCCGAAAGAUGGUGAACUAUGCCUGAAUAGGGUGAAGCCAGAGGAAACUCUGGUGGAGGCUCGUAGCGAUUCUGACGUGCAAAUCGAUCGUC